rnacentral:rRNA from 1 species
GACGAACGCUGGCGGCGUGCUUAACACAUGCAAGUCGAACGCUGAUGGCCCAGCUUGCUGGGUUGGAUGAGUGGCGAACGGGUGAGUAACACGUGAGUAACCUGCCCUCUUCUUUGGGAUAACGGUCGGAAACGGCUGCUAAUACCGGGUAUUCACUGUCCUUCGCAUGGGGGGUGGUGGAAAGGUUUUUUUCUGGUGGGGGAUGGGCUCGCGGCCUAUCAGCUUGUUGGUGGGGUGAUGGCUUACCAAGGCUUUGACGGGUAACCGGCCUGAGAGGGUGACCGGUCACAUUGGGACUGAGAUACGGCCCAGACUCCUACGGGAGGCAGCAGUGGGGAAUAUUGCACAAUGGGCGAAAGCCUGAUGCAGCGACGCCGCGUGAGGGAUGGAGGCCUUCGGGUUGUAAACCUCUUUCGCUCAUGGUCAAGCCGCAACAGUGGUUGUGGUGAGGGUAGUGGGUAAAGAAGCACCGGCUAACUACGUGCCAGCAGCCGCGGUAAUACGUAGGGUGCGAGCGUUGUCCGGAAUUAUUGGGCGUAAAGGGCUUGUAGGCGGUUUGUCGCGUCUGCCGUGAAAUCCUCUGGCUUAACUGGGGGCGUGCGGUGGGUACGGGCAGGCUUGAGUGCGGUAGGGGAGACUGGAACUCCUGGUGUAGCGGUGGAAUGCGCAGAUAUCAGGAAGAACACCGGUGGCGAAGGCGGGUCUCUGGGCCGUUACUGACGCUGAGGAGCGAAAGCGUGGGGAGCGAACAGG